GCAUCGGUUGUGCAAUGGUUAGCAUACGCUCCAUGAAAGAGUGAGAUCUGGGUUUGAAUCCCAGCUGACGCA